rnacentral:rRNA from 1 species
AUUGAACGCUGGCGGCAUGCUUUACACAUGCAAGUCGAACGGUAACAGGGUGCUUGCACCGCUGACGAGUGGCGAACGGGUGAGUAAUGCGUCGGAACGUGCCGAGUAGUGGGGGAUAACGCAGCGAAAGUUGUGCUAAUACCGCAUACGUACUGAGGUAGAAAGUGGGGGACCUUCGGGCCUCACGCUAUUCGAGCGGCCGACGUCUGAUUAGCUAGUAGGUGAGGUAAAGGCUCACCUAGGCGACGAUCAGUAGCGGGUCUGAGAGGAUGAUCCGCCACACUGGGACUUAGACAAGGCCCAGACUCCUACGGGAGGCAGCAGUGGGGAAUUUUGGACAAUGGGCGAAAGCCUGAUCCAGCCAUGCCGCGUGUCUGAAGAAGGCCUUCGGGUUGUAAAGGACUUUUGUCAGGGAGGAAAUCCCUAGCGUUAAUACCGCUGGGGGAUGACAGUACCUGAAGAAUAAGCACCGGCUAACUACGUGCCAGCAGCCGCGGUAACAC